CACCGCGGUUACACGAGUGACUCAAAUUAAUAUUCCACGGCGUUAAGGGUGAUUAGAAAAAUCUCGCUUCAAAUAAAGUUAAGACCUCAUCAAGCUGUCAUACGCACCCAUGCUUAAAAAUAUCAUUAACGAAAGUAACUUUAGUACAACAGAAUUUUUGACCUCACGACAGUUAAGGCCCAAACUAGGAUUAGAUACCCUACUAUGCUUAACUAUAAACAUUUAUAUUAAUUAACGUACCUUAAUAUACGCCAGAGUACUACAAGCGCUAGCUUAAAACCCAAAGGACUUGGCGGUGCUCCACACCCACCUAGAGGAGCCUGUUAUGUAACCGAUAAUCCGCGUUCAACCUCACCACUUCUUGCUUUUUCCGCCUAUAUACCGCCGUCGCCAGCUCACCUUGUGAAAGCACAACAGUAAGCAAAAUGGCCUUUCCCCAAUACGUCAGGUCGAGGUGUAGCGAAUGAAGUGGGAAGACAUGGGCUACAUUCUCUUCCCAGAGAACACGAACAGAAACAUGAAAAAUUUCUUAAAGGUGGAUUUAGCAGUAAGUAAAUUUUAGAACAUUUUACUGAAGCCGGCCCUGGAGCGCGCACACACCGCCCGUCACUCUCCUCGAAACGCCAAUAUUAACCUUUAUAAAAAGAAAGCACAACAAGAGGAGGCAAGUCGUAA
rnacentral:rRNA from 1 species